GUGCCAGCCACCGCGGUUAUACGAGUGGCCCAAGUUGAAAGUUACCGGCGUAAAGAGUGGUUAGGGAAAUAAUAAACUAAAGUCGAACACCCCCUAGGCUGUUAUACGCUUCUGGGGGAACGAAGCCCCACUACGAAGGUGGCUUUAACACACCUGAACCCACGACAACUAAGAUACAAACUGGGAU
rnacentral:rRNA from 1 species